UGCCAGACUCCUACGGGAGGCAGCAGUGGGGAAUAUUGGACAAUGGGGGGAACCCUGAUCCAGCGACGCCGCGUGAGUGAAGAAGUAUUUCGGUAUGUAAAGCUCUAUCAGCAGGGAAGAAAGAAAUGACGGUACCUGACUAAGAAGCCCCGGCUAACUACGUGCCAGCAGCCGCGGUAAUACGUAGGGGGCAAGCGUUAUCCGGAUUUACUGGGUGUAAAGGGGGCGCAGACGGCGAUGCAAGCCAGGAGUGAAAGCCCGGGGCCCAACCCCGGGACUGCUCUUGGAACUGCGUGGCUGGAGUGCAGGAGGGGCAGGCGGAAUUCCUGGUGUAGCGGUGAAAUGCGUAGAUAUUAGGAGGAACACCAGUGGCGAAGGCGGCCUGCUGGGCUUUUACUGACGCUGAGGCUCGAAAGUGUGGGGAGCAAACAGGAUUAGAUACCCCUGUA
rnacentral:rRNA from 1 species